GACGAACGCUGGCGGCGUGCUUAACACAUGCAAGUCGAACGGGAGUAUCGAAGAAGCUUGCUUUAGAGAUACUUUAGUGGCGGACGGGUGAGUAACGCGUGAGGAGCUGUCCGAUGCAGGGGGACAACAGUUGGAAACGACUGCUAAUACCCCAUAAGCCGAGAGGUAAAAGGAUUUAUCCGGCAAUGGAGGUACUCGCGUCCUAUCAGCUAGUAGGUGAGGUAACGGCUCACCUAGGCGAAGACGGGUAGCCGGCCUGAGCGGGCGAACGGCCACACUGGAACUGAGAUACGGUCCAGACUCCUGCGGGAGGCAGCAGUGGGGAAUAUUGGGCAAUGGGGGGAACCCUGACCCAGCGACGCCGCGUGGGUGAAGAAAUCCUUCGGGAUGUAAAGCCCUGUUGUAUGGGAAGAGCGGAAGACGGUACCAUACGAGGAAGCCCCGGCAAACUACGUGCCAGCCGCCGCAGUAA
rnacentral:rRNA from 1 species